rnacentral:rRNA from 1 species
CCUACGGGAGGCAGCAGUGGGGAAUAUUGGACAAUGGGGGCAACCCUGAUCCAGCCAUGCCGCGUGUGUGAAGAAGGCCCUCGGGUUGUAAAGCACUUUCAGUGAGGAAGAACGCCUGGUGGUUAAUACCCAUCAGGAAAGACAUCACUCACAGAAGAAGCACCGGCUAACUCCGUGCCAGCAGCCGCGGUAAUACGGAGGGUGCGAGCGUUAAUCGGAAUUACUGGGCGUAAAGCGCGCGUAGGUGGCUUGAUAAGCCGGUUGUGAAAGCCCCGGGCUCAACCUGGGAACGGCAUCCGGAACUGUCAAGCUAGAGUGCAGGAGAGGAAGGUAGAAUUCCCGGUGUAGCGGUGAAAUGCGUAGAGAUCGGGAGGAAUACCAGUGGCGAAGGCGGCCUUCUGGACUGACACUGACACUGAGGUGUGAAAGCGUGGGUAGCAAACAGGAUUAGAUACCCCUGUAGUC